UGCCUUAGUAGCUUAAGCCCAAAGCGCCGGUCUUGUAAUCCGGAGAUCGAAGGUUAGAAUCCUUCCUAACG
rnacentral:tRNA from 1 species